rnacentral:lncRNA from 13 species
CACACAUAAGUGUGAGAAAAACAAUACAAUUUUUAAGCCCAGUGGCAGCUUUUGAAAAGCUAUCAAGUAGUAUUUAGAACCAGUACUGAAAUGUGAAUGAAGUAGCACUUUUUUUUUUUUACAUUUGAGGUUAUCUCUUUAGGUGUUACCACAAAAAUCUGGAAGAUCUGGGACUUGAAUCACACUAGUGAUUCUCUGGUUAUUGUGGGAAAAGUAUCACUCUGUUUUGUGGAAAGAGAAGACAAUGAGCUUCAGAGAGAAAGAUCUACUGUGACCAAGAGUAUGGUGGAGGCCUUUGUCUGGAUGCUGCUCUUUCCCGGCCUCUUCCCAUGUUCUAGGGCUGUGCCCACUUUGAAGGCCAUGAACUUCUCUUUCCUCGUCUACACCCACCUCAUCAGACCCCCUUGGCAUGUGAAGAACAUAGAAAUAUAUUCUCGCCUUCCAGUUCACAACGUAAGAGAAAUUUUCAUCAAUCCUUGUGCAGUUCGGUACUAUCAUGGUCGUCAUUAAAAGUGAGUAAAAAUACCCUUUGUUUUUUUGUAAACUAUGUUUUGAGAAACUGAUUCAGGUAAUGGAAAAUUUUAGCCAGG